ACGUAUUUGUGUUGCUUUUGCUGAUGAUCCAUAUCAAAGCCAUAGCCAUACCCAACAUGGAUCCAUUUCUAAACCAGCCAGAUACGGACUAUGAAGAUGUGGAAGAAUGGGGCGCAAUUUAAGGUCCGCAAAGAAGGUCCACCUAUAAACACUGACACUACCCUGAAUAAUUGAGCGGUGCCAACAACAUUCAAUCGUUAGGCCCCUCACAUGUAACAUUUUCAGGUGCGACCUAUGCCCUCCGCCCACCCAUCAAUACUCAUCAUGGCAAGGUCCUGGUUAUAAUAUUUACACGCGAUUCACACAGAGAAAGCCUUGAAAUAACAUCGAUCACAGCUAUACCCGAUAUGGACCUAUUUUUAGUGGACAGCCUCAUCUCAUCCUGACAAGAGUUCGUGGAGGUGCUUCCCCAUAAUCUGUUGAUGCCCCUCAAGACUGGUGUGCUCAUAGAGUGGAAUCAACUUUACUUCCAAAACUUUUGAAGAAACAAUUACAAAUUAAACAUAUAGAAUCAUA